UCGAUUAUUUACAGACCGCCGCUGUAUAGAGGAACUAUUGCUGAGUGCGGCGUUAAACAACAAACAAACGCACACAUCUGCUGCACCCUCCUUGUGACCAGACAUUUAAUAGCCGCGAUACAAUGCCACCAAUCCUUCAAAAGCAACCAUUCGGUGCUCAUUUGAAAAUAUCAUUUGGUACUGCAAUUAUCUCGAGAACUAUUUGAAAAGGUAUAAAAUUGCCUUGUCCUGUAUUCAAUAAAUAGCAACACGGCAUGGAAACCGGUUCGUGCGUACUGGUUGACAUCUUUAUUACAAUGAACUGUGAUGCUGCGGCAAAUACGUAGCCAGUUCAUGGCCUUCAUCCGGGUAGUUAGUGGUUAAAGCGACGUGAAGUUGACAAGCGACAUGUAACGCUUGAUUCCUGACAAUGCCAAUCACCAACAAUUCUGGAAUAUCUUACAUUUGACUAGAUCACACUAAAGACAAGGGUUCGAUUCCCCACAUGGGUACAAUUCGUGAAGCCCAUUUCUGGUCUCCCCCGCCGUGAUAUUGCCGGACCAUUGCUAAAAGCGACGUAAACCCAACUCACUCACUCAAUCUACUUGUAGUAGUCUGGCGUUAUGUCGGACUACGGAGCUACGGUCCACUGGAUGCCACGGCAUAGUGUACCACGGUUAUUGAUCAUUCGUUGUUUUAGUUAAGCAAAGGAAAUAGUGCAGGAUGUGAUUACAACCCAUCUCUCCGUGUGGGCACCCCUGUUACGUCCCUCAAUGUCGGUCUUGAUACACUUCAUGGCCGAGUAGACAGUAACUAUCCAUAGCUCCAGGUCACGAGACGACUCAUAGAAAUGAUAAUCAGUAAGAUUGUGAUCGCGU